rnacentral:snRNA from 1 species
UUUUUUAGACCCUUUGGCUGAAAUCAAGGGUACAAUCUGUUCUUACCCGUUUAAUAUCUGAUAAGUGAGUCAUUGACUAGCUUACCACUC